UACGGAGGGUGCAAGCGUUACUCGGAUUUACUGGGCGUAAAGCGCGUGUAGGUGGUCUUGUAAGUCUGGUGUGAAAGCCCGGAGCUCAACUCCGGAAGUGCAUUUGAUACUGUAAGACUAGAGUGCAGGAGAGGAUGGCGGAAUUCCAGGUGUAGAGGUGAAAUUCGUAGAUAUCUGGAGGAACAUCGGAGGCGAAGGCGGCCAUCUGGACUGCAACUGACAAUGAGACGCGAAAGAGUGGGUAGCAAACAGG
rnacentral:rRNA from 1 species